rnacentral:rRNA from 1 species
GAUGAACGCUGGCGGCGCGCCUAACACAUGCAAGUCGAACGGCACCUAUCUUCGGAUAGAAGCGAGUGGCGAACGGCUGAGGAACACGUGGAGAACCUGCCCCCCUCCCCCGGGAUAGCCGCCCGAAAGGACGGGUAAUACCGGAUACCCCCGGGCGCCGCAUGGCGCCCGGGCUAAAGCCCCGACGGGAGGGGAUGGCUCCGCGGCCCAUCAGGUAGACGGCGGGGUGACGGCCCACCGUGCCGACAACGGGUAGCCGGGUUGAGAGACCGACCGGCCAGAUUGGGACUGAGACACGGCCCAGACUCCUACGGGAGGCAGCAGUGGGGAAUCUUGCGCAAUGGGGGGAACCCUGACGCAGCGGCGCCGCGUGCGGGACGGAGGCCUUCGGGUCGUAAACCGCUUUCAGCAGGGAAGAGUCAAGACUGUACCUGCAGAAGAAGCCCCGGCUAACUACGUGCCAGCAGCCGCGGUAAUACGUAGGGGGCGAGCGUUAUCCGGAUUCAUUGGGCGUAAAGCGCGCGUAGGCGGCCCGGCAGGCCGGGGGUCGAAGCGGGGGGCUCAACCCCCCGAAGCCCCCGGAACCUCCGCGGCUUGGGUCCGGUAGGAGAGGGUGGAACACCCGGUGUAGCGGUGGAAUGCGCAGAUAUCGGGUGGAACACCGGUGGCGAAGGCGGCCCUCUGGGCCGAGACCGACGCUGAGGCGCGAAAGCUGGGGGAGCGAACAGGAUUAGAUACCCUGGUAGUCCCAGCCGUAAACGAUGGGACGCUAGGGGUGGGGGGACGAUCCCCCCCGUGCCGCAGCCAACGCAUUAAGCGUCCCGCCUGGGGAGUACGGCCGCAAGGCUAAAACUCAAAGGAAUUGACGGGGGCCCGCACAAGCAGCGGAGCAUGUGGCUUAAUUCGAAGCAACGCGAAGAACCUUACCAGGGCUUGACAUAUGGGUGAAGCGGGGGAGACCCCGUGGCCGAGAGGAGCCCAUACAGGUGGUGCAUGGCUGUCGUCAGCUCGUGUCGUGAGAUGUUGGGUUAAGUCCCGCAACGAGCGCAACCCCCGCCGCGUGUUGCCAUCGGGUGAUGCCGGGAACCCACGCGGGACCGCCGCCGUCAAGGCGGAGGAGGGCGGGGACGACGUCAAGUCAUCAUGCCCCUUAUGCCCUGGGCUGCACACGUGCUACAAUGGCCGGUACAGAGGGAUGCCACCCCGCGAGGGGGAGCGGAUCCCGGAAAGCCGGCCCCAGUUCGGAUUGGGGGCUGCAACCCGCCCCCAUGAAGUCGGAGUUGCUAGUAAUCGCGGAUCAGCAUGCCGCGGUGAAUGCGUUCCCGGGCCUUGUAAAGACCGCCCGUC